rnacentral:rRNA from 1 species
UACGAAGGGGCUAGCGUUGCUCGGAAUCACUGGGCGUAAAGGGUGCGUAGGCGGGUCUUUAAGUCAGGGGUGAAAUCCUGGAGCUCAACUCCAGAACUGCCUUUGAUACUGAGGAUCUUGAGUUCGGGAGAGGUGAGUGGAACUGCGAGUGUAGAGGUGAAAUUCGUAGAUAUUCGCAAGAACACCAGUGGCGAAGGCGACUCACUGGCCCGAUACUGACGCUGAGGC